rnacentral:lncRNA from 1 species
CACCAGCCGGAAUAGCAACCGGCGGAGCCCGUGCGCACCGCAGCGCAGCGCAGCGGCCGGGGGGUGCGGGCGCCCUCGCCGCCCGGCUACCUACCGCCGCCUGGGCGCCGCCGCUGCCUCCCUUCCCCGCUUCUACCCUCCAGCAGACGCCCGCCGGAGCGACCCCUCCCAGGGUGACCGGGGGAAGGUGUUCCACGUGGCCAUAGCGUUUGCGUCACAAUGACCUGGCGGACAGGUGGGAGCCACAGCGUACACCCCAGGGUUCCCUCUGUGCUGUGCGUAGUGCCUACUGCUUGCUUCCAGGUUAAAUUUCUGUAGCUUUAGAGGACAGGAGACUUCAUGACUUCACUGCCAAGAAAAGUUACAGAGGCCUGCUGUACCUGGAAAUCAAGUUUGAGCUUCGAGAAUAAAGGUCAUGUUUUAAAAACA